rnacentral:rRNA from 1 species
GACAGAGGUGCCGAGCGUUAUGCGGAAUCACUGGGCUUAAAGGGCGCGUAGGCGGACUAUCAAGUCUGGGGUGAAAUCCCGCGGCUCAACCGUGGAACUGCCUCAGAUACUGACGGUCUCGAGGGAGGUAGGGGCAUGCGGAACUGUAGGUGGAGCGGUGAAAUGCGUUGAUAUCUACAGGAACUCCGGUGGCGAAAGCGGCGUGCUGGACCUCUUCUGACGCUGAGGCGCGAAAGCUAGGGGAGCAAACAGG